rnacentral:rRNA from 1 species
UCUGGCGACCGGCGCACGGGUGAGUAACACGUAUCCAGCCUGCCCUUUACUCGGGGAUAGCCUUUCGAAAGAAAGAUUAAUACCCGAUAGCAUAAUGAUUCCGCAUGGUUUCAUUAUUAAAGGAUUCCGGUAAAGGAUGGGGAUGCGUUCCAUUAGGUUGUUGGUGAGAUAACGGCUCACCAAGCCUUCGAUGGAUAGGGGUUCUGAGAGGAAGGUCCCCCACAUUGGAACUGAGACACGGUCCAA